rnacentral:rRNA from 1 species
AUUGAACGCUGGCGGCAUGCCUUACACAUGCAAGUCGAACGGUAACAGGUCUUCGGAUGCUGACGAGUGGCGGACGGGUGAGUAAUACAUCGGAACGUGCCUAGUAGUGGGGGAUAACUACUCGAAAGAGUGGCUAAUACCGCAUGAGAUCUACGGAUGAAAGCAGGGGAUCGCAAGACCUUGUGCUACUAGAGCGGCCGAUGGCAGAUUAGGUAGUUGGUGGGAUAAAAGCUUACCAAGCCGACGAUCUGUAGCUGGUCUGAGAGGACGAUCAGCAACACUGGGACUGAGGAACGGCCCAGACUCCUACGGGAGGCAGCAGUGGGGAAUUUUGGACAAUGGGCGCAAGCCUGAUCCAGUAAUGCCGCGUGCAGGAUGAAGGCCUUCGGGUUGUAAACUGCUUUUGUACGGAGCGAAAAGCCCUGGGUUAAUACCCUGGGGUCAUGACGGUACCGUAAGAAUAAGCACCGGCUAACUACGUGCCAGCCGCCGCGGUAACAC